rnacentral:rRNA from 1 species
CUUCGGGCGCGGCCCCCGUCUAAGUUCCUUGGAACAGGACGUCAGAGAGGGUGAGAAUCCCGUCUUGGGCGGGCGGCCCGCGCCCGUGUGAAGCUCCUUCGACGAGUCGAGUUGUUUGGGAAUGCAGCUCUAAGCGGGUGGUAAAUUUCAUCUAAAGCUAAAUACCGGCCGGAGACCGAUAGCGCACAAGUAGAGUGAUCGAAAGGUUAAAAGCACCUUGAAAAGGGAGUUAAACAGCACGUGAAAUUGUUGAAAGGGAAGCGCUUGCGGCCAGACUCGGGGGGCGGGGUUCAGCGGGCGUUCGUCGCCCGUGCACUGCCCGCUCCCCGGGCCAGCAUCAGCUUCGACGGCCGGUCAAAGGCCCCCGGAAUGUGUCGUCUCUAGGGACGUCUUAUAGCCGGGGGUGCAAUGCGGCCCGUCGAGACUGAGGAACGCGCUCCGGCUCGGAUGCUGGCGUAAUGGCCGUAAGCGGCCCGUCUUGAAACACGGACCAAGGAGUCUAACAUCCACGCGAGUGUUCGGGUGUCAAACCCGUGCGCGCAGUGAAAGCGAACGGAGGUGGGAGCCCCCCCCAGGGCGCACCAUCGACCGAUCCUGAAGUCUUCGGAUGGAUUUGAGUAGGAGCGUGGCCGUUGGGACCCGAAAGAUGGUGAACUAUGCCUGAAUAGGGUGAAGCCAGAGGAAACUCUGGUGGAGGCUCGCAGCGGUUUCUGACGUGCAAAUCGAUUCGUCAAAUUUGGGCAGAAGGGCGAAAGA